GCACUUUGUACUGUGGAACUGCGAAUGGCUCAUUAAAUCAGUUAUCGUUUAUUUGAUAGUACCCUACUACAUGGAUACCUGUGGUAAUUCUAGAGCUAAUACAUGCGCAAAACCUCGACUUCGGAAGGGGUGUAUUUAUUAGAUAAAAAACCAAUGCCCUUCGGGGCUCCUUGGUGAUUCAUAAUAACUUAACGAAUCGCAUGGCCUUGCGCCGGCGAUGGUUCAUUCAAAUUUCUGCCCUAUCAACUUUCGAUGGUAGGAUAGUGGCCUACCAUGGUGGCAACGGGUAACGGGGAAUUAGGGUUCGAUUCCGGAGAGGGAGCCUGAGAAACGGCUACCACAUCCAAGGAAGGCAGCAGGCGCGCAAAUUACCCAAUCCCGAUCCGGGGAGGUAGUGACAAUAAAUACUGAUAUAGGGCUCUUUUGGGUCUUAUAAUUGGAAUGAGUACAAUCUAAAUCCCUUAACGAGGAACAAUUGGAGGGCAAGUCUGGUGCCAGCAGCCGCGGUAAUUCCAGCUCCAAUAGCGUAUAUUAAAGUUGUUGCAGUUAAAAAGCUCGUAGUUGAACCUUGGGCCCGUCCUGCCGGUCCGCCUCACCGCGAGUACUGGUCCGGAUGGGCCUUUCUUUCUGGGGAAUCCCAUGGCCUUCACUGGCUGUGGCGGGGAACCAGGACUUUUACUGUGAAAAAAUUAGAGUGUUCAAAGCAGGCCUUUGCUCGGAUACAUUAGCAUGGAAUAAUAAAAUAGGACGUGCGGUUCUAUUUUGUUGGUUUCUAGGACCGCCGUAAUGAUUAAUAGGGAUAGUCGGGGGCGUCAGUAUUCAGCUGUCAGAGGUGAAAUUCUUGGAUUUGCUGAAGACUAACUACUGCG
rnacentral:rRNA from 1 species